GAGAGAGAGAGAGAGAGUGGAAGAAGUUCUUCAGCUUUAGCUUGCCUAGUUUUUGUUGCUUGUUUUUUUUUCAUGUAGUCUGAGCAAACCCUAAUUACGGUCUACAAUUUUAAUUGCUGUCUUUGGUGUUUGAAGAUUAGAUCUUUCCUUAGAUGGGUGUUGCUGUGUCGUUCUCAGAUCUGUCUUUGAAUAAUAGAGAUUUAGGUAUGUUUGUUUGGUUACCAUUUCUGAGGUAAAAAAUUAACACACUUUCCUUGAUUUUCCUUUUCAUUUUCCAGUUUUCGUUGGAUCAAUUUCUGGGACACCAAGAAAAGUGACAGAAGAGAGUGAGCACACAGAGGCAUAUUGGUAUAAAAGUCUAUAUCAUUGCUCUUGCGUGCUCACUGCUCUAUCUGUCAUCUUGCAAUUCUGGAAUUCAUUUGAUUCACUUCUCUCUCUCUCUCUCUCUCUCAAAAUACCCACACACGCAUAUACACAGAGGGGAUAGAAAGAAACGUAGAAUUGUUUCUCUGGUAGUUGAAUUGGGAUAAAAUUGGUAGACUAUGAGGGGCUUUUCUCAACUGUGGAUCUAUUUGAUUUCGUUUCGGUAUUUUAUUAUUUUUUGGAAUUAUUAAUAUUUAAUUACAUGUGGUAGGGUUUAGUAGACCUUUUUUUUUUUUUUUGAUCAUGGGUUUAGUAGACUGGAAGCGUGACUUUUGAUGGGGGGUUUCGUUGAUAAGAGUAAACCCUAAUUACUGUGCUAAAUUAACGGAAAUAAAACGUGUCAUUAUGGGACCAUCACCAUUACAUUUGCACCAUGUUACAGAUAUAUAUAUAUCUAUAUAGUCUGGUCCCGUCUCUCUUUUUUAUUGGUUAAUCAUCCACUGUUUUUUUUUUUUUUUUUUCUUUUUUAAACGUUUUUUUUUUCUUGCACAUGCAAUUGCUUUGAAUAUCAUUGAAGAAUUGGUACCCUGAAUACCUUUAGUCUGGCUCAUGUAGAGUUAUAACUAUGUUGUAUUUGGUGAGCGCAGAUUGGGUUUUGAUUUCAGGUAAUUAGUCUAAGCAAAGCCCUUAUUUCUGUUUGUUUUGUUUUAUUUUUUGUUUUAAACUAAUGGUUGAUCGACGAAUCUUACGUACUCCAUGUCUUGUUUUUGUUACUCACCUUGGGUCUCGUUCUGAUUGAUGGCUGUAGUAUUUGGAUCUUUUCUCUUUGUUUCUGCAGUUUCCUUAUUCUCCUUUGAGUGGUAGCAGAUCAAAGGAUUUUUCAAGCGAAGCUUCAUGAGUUAACGAAGCAAAUGAGUGUACCAUAUUCUCUUUUAGGCUUCAUGUGUGGCCUCAUUUUGUCUUCAGGUGCAAAAAAAAGGGAUAUUCUACCUAGGAGUCGAGGCUGAGUUCACUUGUGUGCAGUGUUCAAGGUCAAGGUACCAAAUUUUGGUGUUGAUACCACAAUGGGGGACAGGGGAACCUUUCGGUUACUCCCAUAAUGAUGGAAGGAUUACCCACGCAAUAGAUUAUUUAUUUGUCAUAUGGAAUUAUUUGUACUUUUAGUCAGCAGUUGAAGCUUAAAAUUUUCCAUUUCCUUUGAGAUUAUUGCGUUGUGUGUUAAAUGGGUCCUUCAAUGUA